AGCUUAUUUUUUUGUCAUUAUUUAGUUAUAUUUGCUGGUUAAUAUAUAUUCUUUGUUCUAUAUAAAAGGCUCGAUUUUGCUUCAAAGCGAGUGAUAGCUUGGCCAAACGAUUUCUGCUCCAAUUGCUUGGCAAAAAAUGGAGGAACAUAGGAUAAAGCUUUGGAAUGAGUUUUAUGAUCUGAGGUUGAGUAAAACCGAGAUCAUAAAUAAUACACCAGAAGAUAUUGCUCCUGAUCAAUGGGCUUUAUUCGUAGAAUAUCGUUUGAAGCCUGGAACUCAGAAUCUUUGUAAGAGAAAUCAAGAAAUUCGG